rnacentral:rRNA from 2 species
CCAGACUCCUACGGGAGGCAGCAGUAGUGGAAUCUUCCACAAUGGACGAAAGUCUGAUGGAGCAACGCCGCGUGAGUGAUGAAGGGUUUCGGCUCGUAAAACUCUGUUGUUGGAGAAGAACAGGUGUCAGAGUAACUGUUGACAUCUUGACGGUAUCCAACCAGAAAGCCACGGCUAACUACGUGCCAGCAGCCGCGGUAAUACGUAGGUGGCAAGCGUUGUCCGGAUUUAUUGGGCGUAAAGCGAGCGCAGGCGGUUUCUUAGGUCUGAUGUGAAAGCCUUCGGCUUAACCGGAGAAGUGCAUCGGAAACCAGGAGGCUUGAGUGCAGAAGAGGGCAGUGGAACUCCAUGUGUAGCGGUGAAAUGCGUAGAUAUAUGGAAGAACACCAGUGGCGAAGGCGGCUGUCUGGUCUGUAACUGACGCUGAGGCUCGAAAGCAUGGGUAGCGAACAGGAUUAGAUACCCUGGUAGUCCAUGCCGUAAACGAUGAGUGCUAAGUGUUGGAGGGUUUCCGCCCUUCAGUGCUGCAGCUAACGCAUUAAGCACUCCGCCUGGGGAGUACGACCGCAAGGUUGAAACUCAAAGGAAUUGACGGGGGCCCGCACAAGCGGUGGAGCAUGUGGUUUAAUUCGAUGCUACGCGAAGAACCUUACCAGGUCUUGACAUCUUCUGCCAACCUAAGAGAUUAGGCGUUCCCUUCGGGGACAGAAUGACAGGUGGUGCAUGGUUGUCGUCAGCUCGUGUCGUGAGAUGUUGGGUUAAGUCCCGCAACGAGCGCAACCCU